rnacentral:rRNA from 1 species
GACGAACGCUGGCGGCGUGCUUAACACAUGCAAGUCGAACGGACAGGCCCUGCUUUCGGGGUUCUCGCGUGGCGAACGGGUGGGUAACACAUGGGUGGUCUGCCCUCCACUUCGGGUUAAGCCUGUGCAACUGGGUCUAAUACCGACUAGGUGCCAUUUUUAGUGUGAUGGUUGGAUAGUUUUGUCGGUGUUUGCUGAGCUCGCGGCCUAUCAGCUUGUUGGGGUGGUAAUGGCCUACCAAAGCGGCGUCGGGUAGCCGGCCUGAGAGGGUGAACGGCCACAUUGGGACUGAGAGAAGGCCCAGAUAGCGACGGGAGGGAGAAGGGGGGAAUAUUGAACAAGGGGCGCAAGCCGGAUGCAGAGACGCCGCGGGGGGGAUGACGGUGUUAGGGGUGAAGACUCAUUGCGCAAGGGACGAAGCUUUUUGUGACGGUACCUAGAUAAGAAGCAACGGCUAACUACGUG